GGGGAGCGCGCUACACAUGCAGUCGAGCGGGGGAAGUAGCUUGCUACUGGACCUAGCGGCGGACGGGUGAGUAAUGCUUAGGAAUCUGCCUAUUAGUGGGGGACAACAUUCCGAAAGGAAUGCUAAUACCGCAUACGUCCUACGGGAGAAAGCAGGGGACCUUCGGGCCUUGCGCUAAUAGAUGAGCCUAAGUCGGAUUACCUAGUUGGUGGGGUAAAGGCCUACCAAGGCGUCGAUCUGUAGCGCGUCUGAGUGGAUGAUCCGGCACACUGGGAC
rnacentral:rRNA from 1 species